rnacentral:lncRNA from 1 species
AUAAUAUCCCAGUAAUAUCAUGAACAGAUGAUUUGUGAAUCAAGGACUCGGCGCUGGAGUGAUUCCCACAAAUGCCUUCGUGGAUUUCUCGUAGAACAUAAUCAAUGUCCCCCGGCCCCAAACAUAUCGCCAGUGGCCCGUCCAAUGUUCUCCUGUACACUGUUCCAUCUUCAUCUAAUACAAACCUAGCAGCUUUGCUUCAUAGGGCCCUCUAUUCUUUAUGGUCCGAUGGGAGUUUUCCACUCUUCAAAUAGUUGAUAUACGUAUUCUUCCAAUCACACGUCAAACUUGUUGAAUUUAUCUCAGCAUGACCCUCUUCGAUCAAAGACCUCAAUAACUGAAUGAUAACCCUUGGGACGAUGUUGUUUUCUUUGACCAAGGAUCCCAGAUUAUCAAGUGCAUCAGCCUCGCUAUUUUGUUCCAGAGGCACAUGAUCCAGUGUCCAUUCCUUAAAGUGGUGCAAAGUUACCUGUAGUUUAUCCAAGUACCAUUGCAUUCUACCCUCUUGAACUUCGAAACUUCUAUUUACUUGG